CUUUGUUUAGCAACAAGCUGGCAUUUUAGCUAGAUAGGGAACCAUAAGAAGAGGAUCCUGAAGAGCUCGUUCUGCACAUCUGCCUUGAAGUGAAAGCAGCUGAGGUAGAUUUUUGUGUGAAGUGGCAAUUCUCUUCUCUUUGCAAUCACAUGGAGCUGCAUGACUUCAGUAGAUGUUGAACAGGGACAUAGUGAAUGGAUCAGAUUUAAGUCACAUAUUCCCAAACAUGGGAAGCCUGCCAGGCGUCUGUGCAGCAUCGAUUACUGUGCAACUCAUGGGCUGCAGCAAGUCAAGUGUGCAUGUGCAAGGGAGCAAGAAGACAUGAAAGCACAUGGCACUUCACCUCCACAGAGAUGGGGAUGUGACUGACAACAAAGCUGUACUCCUGACAUGAUUAUGAUGCAUUUUUUUAA